CAUGGCAAAAAAAAAGAAAAAUUGAAACUGAACGUAGCAGCAUCUAAAAAUGAUUUAUAAAACACGAUUAAAUCAGGGUAGAGCUUUAAGUAUAAACGUUUCAUGGGUGUAGGCUACAUGACGCUCUUCAUUCCUCGCUGGAAAAUGUGUCGAAGAAGACGCAGAACUACGCAGAUAGAAAGAGAGAAAGCGUAGCUCGCUGGAUUUGAUCCGUUUUAUUUCCUAGAAAACAUUUGUACAGGUCACACUGAACAGCAGAUUGUUGUCUCAAGCCAGUGCUGAUCAAUGACAGUUUAGCUGCAGUAUGUCAGAGAAGAGAGGAAAGAUGAGUCUCUCACAGAAACUGAGGUAAGACUGAGUCUGUUUUCAGAGAAUCAUUUCAUCAUCAUCUCCAGGUCACACUGAACAGCAGAUUGUUGUCUCAAGCCAGUGCUGAUCAAUGACAGUUUAGCUGCAGUAUGUCAGAGAAGAGAGGAAAGAUGAGUCUCUCACAGAAACUGAGGUAAGACUGAGUCUGUUUUCAGAGAAUCAUUUAAACACUUUCUGUGAAGAAUAAAACCCCAUCAAUAAUUAAGUCU
rnacentral:lncRNA from 1 species